rnacentral:rRNA from 1 species
AAAUAUUUAUUGGAUUUAUGUGAUUAUAUAGUUAUUAAUAAAAAUAAUUUUAUGAAUAAUUUUUAGUAAUGUUUAUAGAACAAGUGAAUGGAAUGAUAGUAGAAAGUACUGUAAAGGAAAGGUGAAAUAGAAUGAAAUAGUUAUUAGGUUGAAAGAAAAAUAAUAUUUGUACCUUGGGUAUCAGGGUUUAUUAAAUAAUAGUAAUGAUUUAUAAGUCCCGAAUUAAAAAGAGUGAAAGUAAUAUAGUAGUUAGUGUGGUAUCAUUAUUAUAAAUAUUAUUUUUGGGAAUGAAAUGUUAAACGUUUUUUAAGUUAUCUGGUUUUUCAAGAGAUGAAUUAAAUUCAGGUUAUUAGGAGUAAGGAUUGAUUUAUUAUCAGUUAUUUUAUUUUUAAUAUCAAAUGUAUAGGGGGAUAAGCUCUUAUACAGUAAUUAUAAGGUUAUUAGGAAUAACAGAAGUUGUAGGCUUUAAAUUAGCUAUCUAUAAAAUAAUGUUAUAAGUUGUUUUGUAAAAAGGUUAUUUUUAAUAAUUUUAAUUAGGUUAUUGAAAUAUUAUAUUGAAUAGUUUAAUGUAAGUGAUAAUGAUAGAAUGAGUAUAUAAAUGGUGUUAAUAAUUAAUAUUAUGGAAAUUUAUAAUAAGGAAUUAGGCAAAUUAUCACUCGCCUGUUUAUCAAAAACAUCUUCUUUUUGUGUGUAUAUAAAGUUGGGCCUGCCCACUGAAAAAUUUUGAAGGGCCGCGGUAUUGUGACCGUGCAAAGGUAGCAUAAUCAUUAGUCUUUUAAUUGAGGGCUGGAAUGAAUGGUUUGACGAGGUGAUAACUGUCUCAUUAGAAUAUGUGGAAGUUAACUUUUAAGUUAAAAGGCUUAAAUAUAAAUAGGGGACGAGAAGACCCUAUAGAGCUUUAUGUAAAUAUUAGAUUAAUAAUUUGGAAGUAUAUAGAAGUUUAUGUUUAAUUACAUUGUGUUGGGGUGACAUAAAGAUAUAAUUAACUCUUUAUUUUUAAAACAUUGAUGUUUGGGUAUUUGAUCCACUUUUAGUGAUCACAAGAUUAAGUUACCUUAGGGAUAACAGCGUAAUUUUCUUUAAGAGUUCAUAUCAACAAGAAAGAUUGCGACCUCGAUGUUGGAUUAAGGAAUAUAUUUAGAUGCAGCAGUUUAAUUUAUAGGUCUGUUCGACCUUUAAAUCCUUACAUGAUCUGAGUUCAGACCGGCGUGAGCCAGGUCGGUUUCUAUCCUUAUUAAGGUUUUAUACUUUAGUACGAAAGGACCAAGUAUUUUAAAGAUUUUAUAUUAAUUAUGAUUGAUAUUAA